GGCGCGGGGCGGGAGGGUGCCCGGAAACGCCGUCGCGGCUUGGAGCGGGCGCGCGGGGCCUUCGGGAGCCGCGGCGCUGCGUGUCGCCUCCCCUUCCCCUCGGAUCGGGCCCCCCCGCUGCGCUGCCCGAGGAGCCGCUGGACGCUCCGUGCCCGGUUGUUCCCCCUCUCUUUCUGCACCCUGCGCGUGUCCCGCGCCCACGCGUGCCUCUCCUCGUGCCUCCCCCGCCAGCCGUGUGCGCUGCGUCCCAGGCUGCUUUCCCAGCGUGCAAAACCCCGCGUCCUCUUCUGCGCCAAAUCGAAAUUACACAGCGUGCGGGCUGCGUUGGGCCUGCGUGCCAGCGUCCGGUUUGCACGCAGGAUUCUCCGGAGAGGCCCUGUUAAAUGAAAAUCUUCUUGCAACUAUUCUGGAAUAUUACAGGCAGGCCUGCUGUCAGUUUUUGCUGGAGAAACUGUUUCUGCAUCUUCCUCCUGCUUCUCUCCUCCAACUUCCUCCCCUGCAGGGUGUUUCAGGAUCAAGGUUUCUCUGCACUGCUUCCCGCGACUGAUUGAUUUUCAGUAAUGAGUGCGUACGUAUUUUGAUAUAUCCUAAAGCACUGUAUGGUGUAGUGAGCACAGUCAAUAUCACUCACUCGAGUUGCCUGUUGCAACUUUGUCCCAAAGCUUAAGGUAGGCUGUUUCCACUUAGUACAGAAGAAUUACGUGCGCUUACAGUGGGAAGACAGC
rnacentral:lncRNA from 1 species